rnacentral:rRNA from 1 species
AGCAGCCGCGGUAAUUCCAGCCCCAAUAGCGUAUAUUAAAGUUGUUGCAGUUAAAAAGCUCGUAGUUGAAUUUCGGGGUCAGCAAGUUGGUCGUGCCACUGGUAUGUACUGGCUUCGCUGAUUCCUCCUUCUUGUAGAACCGUAAUGCCAUUAAUUUGGUGUUGCGGGAAAACAGGACUGUUACUUUGAAAAAAUUAGAGUGUUUAAAGCAGGCUAACGCUUGAAUACAUUAGCAUGGAAUAAUGAAAUAGGACGACGAUCCUAUUUUGUUGGUUUCUAGGAUUGACGUAAUGAUUAAUAGGGAUAGUUGGGGGCAUUAGUAUUCAAUUGUCAGAGGUGAAAUUCUUGGAUUUAUUGAAGACUGACUACUGCGAAAGCAUUUGCCAAGGAUGUUUUCAUUAAUCAAGAACGAAAGUUAGGGGAUCGAAGACGAUCAGAUACCGUCGUAGUCUUAACCAUAAACUAUGCCGACUAGGGAUCGGAUGAUGUUAAUUUUAUAAUGACUCAUUCGGCGCCUUAA